rnacentral:lncRNA from 1 species
UGACAAGCAGUUUCAGGUCAGUUACUCAUAACUGCGAGCUCGUUAUUAUUGGUCCGAUAUUUCAUAAUUCAGGACAAUAUAAUACGUUUUAUUAUGUUAUUCCAGGCACUCCAUGAAGGCGCCGAUGGAGUGUAAGGACAGCUCAUUCUAAAAGUUCGUCUCUCGAGUACGAGGACAACAAAAGUUGUGAGCUAUGUUCAGGGAAGGAAAUCUGUUAUCAUGAUCUAGCUGUUUCCAUCCACAAUAAAUCAUAAAAUGUGGGUAUUUACUGAUUUGUAGAACAUAUUUUCAUUAUCCCAUGUUCUUUCAUGGUGGUUGCUGUUUGAACAAAUAUUAAUGUUAGUUUAUGCAAAUCCCCC